rnacentral:rRNA from 1 species
CCUACGGGAGGCAGCAGUGGGGAAUUUUGGACAAUGGGCGAAAGCCUGAUCCAGCAAUGCCGCGUGAGUGAAGAAGGCCUUCGGGUUGUAAAGCUCUUUUGUCAGGGAAGAAACGGUGUUUUCUAAUACAGAAUGCUAAUGACGGUACCUGAAGAAUAAGCACCGGCUAACUACGUGCCAGCAGCCGCGGUAAUACGUAGGGUGCAAGCGUUAAUCGGAAUUACUGGGCGUAAAGCGUGCGCAGGCGGUUUUGUAAGUCUGACGUGAAAUCCCCGGGCUCAACCUGGGAAUUGCGUUGGAGACUGCAAGGCUAGAGUUUGGCAGAGGGGGGUAGAAUUCCACGUGUAGCAGUGAAAUGCGUAGAUAUGUGGAGGAACACCGAUGGCGAAGGCAGCCCCCUGGGUCAAGACUGACGCUCAUGCACGAAAGCGUGGGGAGCAAACAGGAUUAGAUACCCUGGUAGUCCACGCCCUAAACGAUGUCUACUAGUUGUCGGGUCUUAAUUGACUUGGUAACGCAGCUAACGCGUGAAGUAGACCGCCUGGGGAUACGGUCGCAAGNUUAAAACCNAAAUGAAUUGACGGNUGAGAGUAGCGACGACGACGACGAGGGAGGAGG